rnacentral:tRNA from 1 species
GGGGGCGUGGUGUAGCGGUUAACAUGCGGCCCUGUCAAGGCCGAGAUCGCCGGUUCGAAUCCGGUCGUCCCCG